GAACAUGUUGUUUUGGUAUAUUUUCAAAACUAAAAGCAUUAGGUAAUUGCAUAGCAAAUAGCAAUUUA